rnacentral:rRNA from 1 species
UGGGGAAUAUUGCACAAUGGGCGAAAGCCUGAUGCAGCAACGCCGCGUGAGGGACGACGGCCUUCGGGUUGUAAACCUCUUUAGCAAGGAAGAAGCGAAAGUGACGGUACUUGCAGAAAAAGCGCCGGCUAACUACGUGCCAGCAGCCGCGGUAAUACGUAGGGCGCAAGCGUUAUCCGGAAUUAUUGGGCGUAAAGAGCUCGUAGGCGGUUUGUCGCGUCUGCUGUGAAAACCCGAGGCUCAACCUCGGCUCGCGUAGGGUAGGCUGGACGGCAGACUAGAGUGCGGUAGGGGAGAUUGGAACUCCUGGUGUAGCGGUGGAAUGCGCAGAUAUCAGGAAGAACACCGAUGGCGAAGGCAGAUCUCUGGGCCGUAACUGACGCUGAGGAGCGAAAAGGGUGGGGAGCAAACAGGCUUAGAUACCCUGGUAGUCCACCCCCGUAAAACGUUGGGGAACUAGUUGUGGGGGUCCAUUCCACGGAUUCCGUGACGCAGCUAACGCAUUAAGUUCCCCGCCUGGGGGAGUACGGCCGCAAAGG